CAAUCUUCAAUGAAACAUACGGUCAGAGACAGUCAUGGUGAAUAAUUGUGCUUGAACAUGUGCAUACUAGUAUAUGCAAUUCAAGCAUUCUAAAGGAAAGGCACAGCAUUACAGCAACCAGACAGUAGGUACUCUAUGGAGAGUAGCGCGAAAAAAAAAAAAAAAAAAAAA